rnacentral:rRNA from 1 species
AGUGAACGCUGGCGGUAGGCCUAACACAUGCAAGUCGAACGGCAGCACAGUAAGAGCUUGCUCUUACGGGUGGCGAGUGGCGGACGGGUGAGGAAUACAUCGGAAUCUACUUUUUCGUGGGGGAUAACGUAGGGAAACUUACGCUAAUACCGCAUACGACCUACGGGUGAAAGCAGGGGAUCUUCGGACCUUGCGCGAUUGAAUGAGCCGAUGUCGGAUUAGCUAGUUGGCGGGGUAAAGGCCCACCAAGGCGACGAUCCGUAGCUGGUCUGAGAGGAUGAUCAGCCACACUGGAACUGAGACACGGUCCAGACCCCUACGGGAGGCAGCAGUAGGGAAUAUUGGACAAUGGGCGCAAGCCUGAUCCAGCCAUACCGCGUGGGUGAAGAAGGCCUUCGGGUUGUAAAGCCCUUUUGUUGGGAAAGAAAAGCAGCAGGUUAAUACCCCGCUGUUCUGACGGUACCCAAAGAAUAAGCACCGGCUAACUUCGUG